UGGGUCUAGGGAGAGGGUUUUGUUUGCCGUAUUUGGUGCCGGAGCUGGGCGAGGCAGAGGCGAGGGGGGUGAUGGUCAGGUGAGGGGGAGGCGAGGUGGGGGAGUUCGCUUCCGUGGCCUACCGCCGCAGGAGGGGGUGGGGGCCGUCGCCGGAGCCCUGGUAGGAGCGGCGGCCGCUGUCCCUGAUGGAGCAGGCGUUGAGGCCGCUCGUCCACUUCUAGUCGUCGUAACUCCCCCUGUGACAUCGACAGAUAAAGAGCCGGAGUACCACGGGCGGUACGGUCGCCAAAUGCGGUUUCGAAUAACUUCGUAUGUUUCUUGAAUGGAGUGUACCGUUCUCGAAACUCCACUAGAAACAAAGUCCGCUGGUUCUACUCCUUCGUAAGUUACGGAUAAAACGUUUCUACGGCACCAACCGUCAAGGAAAGAGGCUGAGACUUCCGGCAUUUUCGGAACUACUCGCCAAACUCCAGUUGCCAUAAGGUGUGGAACAAAAGGAACUACGUUUUUGACCACUUCAAGAAUGACUACUUCCUCAACUCAAACACUCACUUAUACCAUAUCUUCGAAUAGGAAAAUGUCGGCUCUCCUAGCUACUUAACUUCCUUGUUCUUUUCCGACGAUUCCUAUUGGUCUGAUAAGUAUCACACGAACCAUGUGGUUUAGCAUUGAUGCAUUAAAGUUUGUGCCCCCUCUUCCAUGGGUAACAACUAGAACUCCCCUUCAUACAACCAUAUACGAAACAUCACUUGCCGAUAGGAGGUCAACACCUUAAAUGGGGUCACGAACGGUUCUAUAUACGCUUUGAGUUUCUUCACCCCCUCUUCAAACUUCAACAUCGACAUAGGAACCUGUCACUGCUCCUUAGUAAGUUAUUGUCAAAAAGUUCGUACGGAACCGAGCGGUAAGGAGUCCCGCUGUUCUACACAGUCUUCGAACAGUCAAUGAAACUCGAAUCACUAGAAGGAUGUGACCACGAGUAACCAGGACUACCCUUCUGUGACUCGUCGUUAUAACGCCUGUAUUAAUUACUCGUGCCAAACCUACGUACCCUCCCCAAGGGGAAGUUACGUCUCUUCGACCUUUAAGAUCGCCUCUUCCGUUUCCGAUUUCGUCGCCGUGUCUGUAACCUCAGGGAAGACCAAUGACCACUAUAUCUGAAACAGUAGCCCUUUCUACCUCGUUUCCAAGGACAUCGUCUUGAACAACCCUUCUGACAGGAGGAGAUGAAAAGUCGAUUUACCACACCCGGUACGUCUCGGAAGGACGGAUGUGAACACCUACAAAUGUUGUUCCAGUUCCUCUUCUUGUCGCUAAAGCUCUAGCAGAAGUAGAGAUCGCUGUCCCUGGUCUCGAGUAAGCUGCUGAAGAAGAGACCGUACGGUACCGAGCGGCAAGGGAACCUUCUGCUGUCCUUCCGCAUGGACUUUUUCUUCAAGUUCUAGGCGCCUUAGGGAAGAGAGCAGCGGUAACCAGGGCUACCCUUCUGCCAGUUGUGCCUGCGCUUCUGAAGCGACCGCCAGGUACCGCGGCUGCGCAAAGGCAAGUGGUCGCUCUCCUAGGUCCUCGACCUCUUCUUCUAGCUGCUCUACCGCUUCCCCACCGGACUCUUCCACUUCGUGCUCGACGUGCUCGUGCUCGAGCACGACUAGGCGGCGGGGUCCGGCAUGCCGACGCUGCCCACGCUUCUCUACCCGUGGAGGACCAGGAUGUUGACGCGCCUCACGCUGAAGCUAGACGUGUGGUUCACGCGCGACCCACUCCUCUUCUUCCCUCUACUCCACUUACCCGUUCUACGACGACGACUCCGACGACGGGGUCGCCCCAUGCACACGCUCCCUCUGCAGACGUCCUUCCGGAUCCAUCGCAAACACAACACACACAAGGAACGGUCGACUUCGCACAGACUUAGUACACGACACACCACACUACUAUUUAUUUAGAACGUAGGCUACCAGAACCCUCCAUAAAUAUAUAGGACCACUGUAAAUACACGUUUUAGCAUUCAUAUACCAAAGUCUA
rnacentral:rRNA from 1 species